UGCCCUUGUCUGAAGAACCUGCCUGGAGC
rnacentral:piRNA from 1 species